GCGUGUGUGAAGAAGGCCUGCGGGUUGUAAAGCACUUUUAUCAGGAAAGAAAAUCACAGGGCUAAUACCCCUGUGCCUUGACGGUACCUGAUGAAUAAGCACCGGCUAACUCCGUGCCAGCAGCCGCGGUAAUACGGAGGGUGCAAGCGUUAAUCGGAAUUACUGGGCGUAAAGCGAGUGUAGGCGGCUUCGUAAGUCGGAUGUGAAAGCCCUGGGCUUAACCUGGGAAUUGCAUUCGAUACUGCGCGGCUAGAGUCUGAUAGAGGGAAGUGGAAUUCCAGGUGUAGCGGUGAAAUGCGU
rnacentral:rRNA from 1 species